UUCUGUCUUUGUCCCCUCCCCUCCCCCACCAAUAAUCAGCAGCAGGGGCUCCGGUGAUUUAACUUGCCUCAAUCCCCUGGAUAACUCUGGAUGAAUGAAAGUUGACCAUGUAUCAAACAUUAACAAGCUGCAGGGCUGGGAGGGUGGAGGUAAGCAAUAGGCCCCGGGUUCAGCCUGGCCUCUUGGCCUCUUGCCCACAGUUCCUUCCCAUGACUCACCUUUCUGUUUAGGUUUGUGCCUCCCUGGCUGGCAAUCAAACACAGUACAGAUUUAGCCUGGGAAGCAAGGCUGUGUGUGAGGCUCUUCUCCACAACUCCUCUCCCCAAACAUGGGGUGCUGAAAACUGUCCACAAAUCAAUACAUCACUGUGAUAAGCUGUCAGGAGCUGGUGAAGUAAGAGUGUUCCAGCGAGCCCAGCUUCUCUCCAAGCAGGAAGGAGUGCCUCUUACAUUUUCACACUUUCCUUCAUCCUUAGGAUGAAAACCCAACAGGCCUGGUACAGAGGAGGGGGCACAAAUGUCUCUUAUGAUCUGCACAAGGGAGCUGCCAGCUGGAAGGGUGGUGCUUGACUGCCUCCAGACCCUCUCUGCCAGGCUUUCUCCUGGGUCAGGUCUGAAUGUCUGUACCCCAUCAACUGAGCAGUCAUGCUUGUCCUUCUUGGAGACAGGACCAGCCUGUUAUCAACCAAUUCCCACCACAUGGCCACAUUCUUACUGCCCAGUGUGAGGCCAGAUGGUGUUGAUGAGCAAAAUGCGCAUUAGCAGGAGAAUGGAAAAAGAGUGGUCAAGCACAGCACAGGAGGCCCCAUCAUGUUCAAACUUCAGAUACGCAACAGUUGCUUUUUAAGAUAAGUGCAUUCUGCAACUACAGAGUACAUGUUGCAACUUUCAGCCUUAUGAAUCCCAGAAGGUGAGUACAUCUUGUAAAGAGACCCAGGUCCAGAGACAGAAUGUUCCAGGAACUACCCCUUGACCCUUCCAGGAACUUUGUAUCCACUUUCUUCCUGACCUCUAACAGCACAGUUGAGUUUUGUCUGAUUGAGAGUGUCACUGUCAUAUAAGGUGUCACUCAGCCUGCAUUCUUUUCUGUCUGAUUUUUCUCAGGAUUACAUCUGUGACAUUUGUUCUAUUGUGUGUGUGUGUGUGUGUGUGU
rnacentral:lncRNA from 1 species